AUCUUUGCGCUUGGGGCAAUGACGCAGCUUAUGAGGUCAUACCGAGGCGCGUCAAUUGCUGGUUGAAAACUAUUUCCAAACCCCCUCUUUGGCCCACUGGGCCACUGAGAAUUUCUGGAAGGGCUCCUUUUCCUCGGAGAAGGUAAAGCCCUAC
rnacentral:snRNA from 1 species